rnacentral:rRNA from 1 species
UGCUUGCACCUUUCAAGUGAGUGGCGAACGGGUGAGUAACACGUGGACAACCUGCCUCAAGGCUGGGGAUAACAUUUGGAAACAGAUGCUAAUACCGAAUAAAACUUAGUGUCGCAUGACACAAAGUUAAAAGGCGCUUUGGCGUCACCUAGAGAUGGAUCCGCGGUGCAUUAGUUAGUUGGUGGGGUAAAGGCCUACCAAGACAAUGAUGCAUAGCCGAGUUGAGAGACUGAUCGGCCACAUUGGGACUGAGACACGGCCCAAACUCCUACGGGAGGCUGCAGUAGGGAAUCUUCCACAAUGGGCGAAAGCCUGAUGGAGCAACGCCGCGUGUGUGAUGAAGGCUUUCGGGUCGUAAAGCACUGUUGUAUGGGAAGAACAGCUAGAAUAGGGAAUGAUUUUAGUUUGACGGUACCAUACCAGAAAGGGACGGCUAAAUACGUGCCAGCAGCCGCGGUAAUACGUAUGUCCCGAGCGUUAUCCGGAUUUAUUGGGCGUAAAGCGAGCGCAGACGGUUGAUUAAGUCUGAUGUG